rnacentral:rRNA from 1 species
AUUGCUCAGUAACACGUGGGAUGACUUCAGUGGCGUACAAUUCAAUCAUCCGUUCACGGGCUGCUGCGGGUUGCUCACCAGCACCAUAAACCAAAUCAAAACGGCCAACCCCAAGCGUCUUAAUCGCUUUAGCCAUGCGUUGGGCAACCACUUCUGGUGUGCCGACAUACAUUGAACCAGAUUGGAUUUCGUGUUCAAAGUGUUCGCGAGACAUUGGUGCCUAACCACGCAUCACCCCAAUUUUAUCAAAGGCGAGCUUAAUAUUUUCCCAAGCCAUCUCAACAGCAGCUUCUUGCGUAUCAGCAAUGAAACCGUGAGAGUGCAUUCCCAACGGGUGCGUUGGCAUAUCAAACUGCUUAGCCGCCCGUUCGUAAAGUUCAACAUACGGCUUGAAACGAAUCGGAUCGCCACCAAUAAUGGCUAAAAUCACCGGGAAACCAAAAUGCGCUGCGCGGACAAUCGAUACUGGUGAACCACCGACACCAACCCAGGUGUCCAAGUGACCACUUUCCGUUUUUGGAAAGACGUCGGCUUGUUUCAAGCUCUGGGUAAAUUCACCUUGCCAAUCAAAUGGCUUUUCUUCUAAUAACUUUGAAAACAUGGCGAUUUUUUCUUCAAAUAAAGCAUCGUAAUCACCAAGAUCGUAACCAAACAAUGGGAAUGAUUCUGUGAACGAACCACGCCCUAAAAUAAUCUGGGCGCGACUGUUAGAAACGGCAUCCAACGUUGAAAAACGUUCAAAUACACGGACUGGAUCAUCAGAACUCAAGACUGUCACACCAGAACCAAGGGUAAUUUGCUUUGUUUGUGUCGCAAUCGCGGCCAAAACAGUUUCAGGACUAGAAGUGGCAAAUUCUUCACGGUGGUGCUCACCUAGCGUAAUGACAUCAACGCCUAAUUCAUCGGCCUACACCGCUUCUUUGACAACUUGACGCAACGCUUGCGCAUACGUCAUCAACUGCCCAUCACUGUUUUUUGGGACAUCCCCAAAUGUAUCUAAUCCUAAAAUUACUUUUUCUGGCGCCAUGUUCUGCUCCUUGCACACACCGACUCUCCGACAUUCAAGCUCAAGGCCCGUCCUGAGAUUUCAAACGCAGGCUACACUACACUCAACGUCGAAGCCUACGGCGGCAUGCUCAGUAACACGUGGCCAUUGGCUGUGAGCAGCCCAGCCAGAGGCGGCGAGCCCCUCCUUGCACACACCGAA